rnacentral:lncRNA from 10 species
CUUUCAGGCACCAGGUUAAUGUCACAGAAGCAAACUGGUCAGCAUCCAGGGCAAGGAGCCAGAUGUAGUAACUGAACUCCAUUCUCUGAAAGACAAUAGCUCAGAGAGAAAAUGGAGAAGUUUCAAGAGGCCAGGAGAAUGUGAUUUAUGGUGGAGUUACAAUGUGGCAGUUGAGAACUAGACAAGACUGUGGGACUUCAUUUUUUCACCAUUUGCAGCAGCUGAUGGCAAUAAAAAUUGCAGAAUGCAUCAUCUGCAAGUGUUUUAUAGAGCUGAGAUGCUCAAGAGUUAGCCACCAGCCACAAGUGACUAUUGAAUACUUGGGAUGGGGCUAGUGUAACAAAGGUAAUAAAUUUUUAAUUCUAAUUUAUUUUAAUUAAAAAACUGAAGUGUUAUAUACUUUUCUGUUAAAUAUAAGUUUAUUAUUUUGGUGGGAUUACAGUUCACUUCCACUGUUGACAAUGUUCUAUCUUACUUGAGAUGUAUUAUAAUGUACACAGCUGAUUUUGAAGACUUAAGAAAAAUGGAUUUAAUAUAUCUCACUAAUAAUUUUUAUGUUGAUUACAAGUGGAAAUAAAAAUAUUUUGGAUAUGUUGCAG